rnacentral:lncRNA from 1 species
CAGGCUGGUAGUGAGGAUUAGCCAGCUUGGUGUGGAGGAUGAGCCGGAACUUGGGAUUGUAUUCACAUUCUUUGUCUCCAAUUUUAAUGAAUCUGGAACAUAAAGGCUCAUGUGAAGGUGUCCUGAUGACAUAGAACAGGAUGAGUACUGAAACCACAAGGCUAAAAUGAAGGGAGGCAUGAGGGAUGUCAAGGCCCAAGCCACUGAAGCCUGGUGGGUGCUGGCCAGACAUUCUCAGUGCCAUUCAAGUCCCUUCACGUGGUAACUUUCCCACAGCUGAGGGUCAACCAUGAGUGGCCAGCGCUCACAGUUGAUGAGAAUGGUGGCAUUCUCCACGGACAUGCGGUCGGCUGGGAGGCCCUCGUUCUGCCAGGCAGCCACGUCAGCAUCAUCCAUCAGCAUCCUCAGGGGAUCCAGGGCUGGGGUGACUGGAAUGGGAGUCUGGUGAAGAAGAAACACCACCCCACGCUCAGAACAGAAGCAGACAUUCUCAGCUGGGAUGAAUGCAGUUACUCACCAAAUGACACAACUCCUUUAAAAGCAAGAUCAACAUCCCACUGAAGAAUGCCUUUCUGGCUGUGUGAUUAUUUCUGGAAGCAGGUUCUAUUAAAGUCCUGAUAGCUUUUUUUUUUCCCCUCCAUGGAUGAAUAACUGCAGAAAUUCAA